UCAUUUUCGAGAAACUUCAAGAAGAAAGUUAUUAGCGUAAUUUUAUUACAGCUAAAACUGAUGCAAGGCAUUGGCACAGUGAAUGGCAGCUGAAAAAUUUUGACCCUUGUUUCUGGAAGUGAAAUGUUAGAUGGUUUGAUGAAGUGCCACAGAGAUUAUCGCUUAAAGAAUGCGUGCAGGCCAACCACCAACACAAGAUAUUAAAAGAGCAAUGAAAAUGAAGAUUUAACUAUAAAGAAAAAUCUGACUAAUAUUAUUACUCAUAACACUUAA